rnacentral:rRNA from 1 species
CCUACGGGUGGCUGCAGUGGGGAAUAUUGCACAAUGGGGGAAACCCUGAUGCAGCGACGCCGCGUGAGUGAAGAAGUAAUUCGUUAUGUAAAGCUCUAUCAGCAGGGAAGAAAAUGACGGUACCUGAGUAAGAAGCCCCGGCUAACUACGUGACAGCAGCCGCGGUAAUACGCAGGGGGCAGGCGUCAUCCGGAUUUACUGGGUGUAAAGGGAGCGUAGACGGCAGUGCAAGUCUGGAGUGAAAGGCGGGGGCUCAACCCCCGGACUGCUGUGGAAACUGUACGGCUGGAGUGCAGGAGAGGUAAGUGGAAUUCCUGGUGUAGCGGUGAAAUGCGUAGAUAUUAGGAGGAACACCAGUGGCGAAGGCGGCCUGCUGGACGACAACUGACGGUGAGGCGCGAAAGCGUGGGGAGCGAACAGGAUUAGAUACCCCUGUAGUC